UGGGGAAUAUUGCACAAUGGGCGCAAGCCUGAUGCAGCCAUGCCGCGUGUAUGAAGAAGGCCUUCGGGUUGUAAAGUACUUUCAGCGGGGAGGAAGGGAGUAAAGUUAAUACCUUUGCUCAUUGACGUUACCCGCAGAAGAAGCACCGGCUACCUCCGUGCCAGCAGCCGCGGUAAUACGGAGGGUGCAAGCGUUAAUCGGAAUUACUGGGCGUAAAGCGCACGCAGGCGGUUUGUUAAGUCAGAUGUGAAAUCCCCGGGCUCAGCCUGGAAACAGCAUCUGAUACAGGCAAGCUUGAGUCUCGUAGAGGGGGGUAGAAUUCCAGGUGUAGCGGUGAAAAGCGUAGAGAUCUGGAGGAAUACCGGUGGCGAAGGCGGCCCCCUGGACGAAGACUGACGCUCAGGUGCGAAAGCGUGGGGAGCAAACAGG
rnacentral:rRNA from 1 species